UUGUUGGGGAAUGCUGGGAAAGACUCCUGCUGCUUCCUACUAGACGUGAGGCUUGCACUGCUCCCGCCAUGGAGCUCAGAUCAUGCCCUGGAGAAGCAGGUGACAUCGCGGAAUUUUCCUGGUGAGAGCAGGCAAGAGGAGGAGCCCCUCCAUCCUCCCACCUGGGUCUGGGGCUCAGAAUCUUCCCUGCUUUCUUGUUGAGUGGCUGGAAACUCCGGGAGUUGUGGCAGGCCAGGAGGCCGGCUUAUCCCCAGGAGGGGGCUUUGGAGGCUAGAUUCAUAUCCUAGGGCUGUUCUAACAAAAAUGAUCAAAAACCAGGUGGCUUAGAACAACAAUAAUUCAUUCUCUUGCAGUUCCAGAUGCCAGAAGUCUGAAAUGAAGGUGUAAAGCAGGGUGGUUCCUUCUGGAGGCUCUGAGAGAAUCACCCCAGGCCUCUCUCCAGCUUCUGGUGCUGGUAUUCUCAGGCUUGUAGGCGCAUCACCCAUGUCUGCCUCCAUCUUCACAUGGCCUUCUCCUCUGUGUCUGCCUGAAGUCUCCCUUCAUUUCUCUUGUAAGGACAUCAGUCAUUGGAUUUAGAGCCCACCCUAAACCCAGAAUGAUCUCAUCUCAAGAUUACAUCUGCACAGACGCUAUUUCCAGAUAAGGUCACAGUCAAAGGUACCAGGGGUUAGGAUAUGAACAUAUCUUUUUGAAAGACACGAUUUAACCUACAGCAGGUGCUCAGGGCAGUUGGGUGGGGGCCUGUGCUAGGGGCCCAACAGCCAAGGCUUAAAGCCGCACUCCACACCUAGGCCUGUGACACCUCCCACAAGCUUCUUCACCUCUCAAGCCUCAACUUCUACUUCUGCAAACAGGGAACAAUAAAAGUAUCUCCCUGCCCCCACCUUGCAGGGUUUCCAGUUCCAAUGUCUACACACUCACCUGGGAGUUAUCUGAAAUUGUUGUUCACCUGCUUAAACCUUUUGAGUUUCCAGCACCCCCCAGAAGUCCCCACCCUCUAGUCCCUUAGCAAGAUACUGGCCCUGCGUGAGCUUCCCACCUUCCUUGACAGCUGCAUCUCUCAUCAUUAGGACCUGGGCAACACUGCAGAAUAUGGCAGGUCUUCCCUCAUCUCUGUGCUUUGCCUCCAUUCCCUGACUUCUCUCCCAUCCUCCUCCUGUCACCUGGCCUCUCCCCAUCCUACUGGCCUUAAAGCUCAGCUCCUGAAGCCUCCCUGAUGCUCCUCCCUUCAUAGCCCCUCCCAGCCUGGCCACGUGGGCUCGGGCAGCCCAGAGCCUGGGCCUCCUGGUCACACUCUGAGCACACAGCCCAUUUUCUCUCCAGUGCUGGCUUGUGUUUGACACCAUGCCUGACACAUUGGGGGUGCUCAGUAGACCUGUGUGAGAUGGACAGCCUCCCGUACAGAUGGACGGACAGAUGUACAGCCCCGUGGAGAUGCCCUGUGUAAGCCACUGAAGCCUCUGGCCAACAGCAGUGGGAACCUGAGACGUGUCCACAAGCAUGCAUGGGAGCUUGGAAGUGGAUCCUUCAGCCCCAGCCAAGCCUUCAGACGAUGCAGCCUCAGGGACAGUAUGACUGCAGCCUCAUGAGACCCUGAGCCAGAAACACCCCUCCAAGCCACUCCCAGAUGCCUGGCCCUCAGAACCUGGGAGGUAAUAAAUAUUUAUGGCUGUUUGAAGCUGCUGUAUCGGGGGACAAUUUGUUACACAGUAAUAGCUAACUGGUGCAGUCCUGGGACUCUUAGCAGUUUGGAGUAUCAGUUAUUUUGCCAAGGCGGGGAAGUUAACAGUGGUCAUUGCAGCAGCUGCACUUGGGGACCACAAUAAAGAAGCUUUCUCAGACUGGUUUGAACAAAGUGGUGAAUUCUCUGCAAGGACACAGAGGUGUCUCUCAAAACCCAAGGAUGGGACAGCAGGCCUCAAGAAGAACUGGAACCUCUGUCCCUUCUGUGCUUCUUUUUACUCCUGUGUUCUCUGCUUCUUGGAGCACUUGGCAGUUGGGAAGUGGCCAUUUCAAUUCUCGUGGUCAAGAAACCAGCUCAGAAAUAACCCAACCAACACAGGUGGGGUCAGGUGUCCAUCCUGGCUCCAUUUGUCAUGGCGGGAGAUGGUGAUGAAGAGAAACAUCCAGGACCAUUGGUAGGGCACCCGAAUGAGAUUCCAGGAGAGGCCAGUUCUAAGAGAAGGGUACUAGAAAGAUACCCAUUGAAGUCAAUACCACAUGUGGCACAUCCUCCUUUCAGGUGGCAAGUGUGUAGCCAAAGCAAGGUUCAGGGUCCAUAUUUGAAAGUCAGAAACUGAAUAAACUGUUUUCUCCCACCCCGAGCACUGUGGGGAACUCUGCUCACAAAUCCACCAUCCACCAUCACCAGCCGUGCUCAUCUGACCAUUCAUGCAGGCUCACACUUGACCUGAUGUGGGUUCUGUCUCCUUUGCUUGAGAAUUGAAAGGCCUGGGAGAUGCAAAAGCUUUAGGCUCCAGCCAUCUCCCCAUGUCAGGUAGGCCUUUUGCCUAGUGUAUCCAGUUGGUAAUGCUGCAGAGAUGCAUGAAGCUGGAGUCAGAGGCCACCUGUAGUGCUGCCCUGACUUCAGACCUGAGCCCAGCCCAGCAGCAGAGAGGGGGCUGGGAGCCAGAGGAGGCCUCACAGUAACAGCACAGACAGGUGGGGGCCCACAACAGGCCACAUGUGUUCAAACUCGAGUGUGGGCAGAGGAGCAUGGGAAGCUCAGAGCCCUGAGCUCACCCCACACCCAACACGAGUGGGGUCACCCAAAAUCAGCCUGUCAGCACUGUCCCAGCAGCCAGUCGCAUGCUACAUUAACAAAUUUUGCACAGGCCAGCAAGCAGGAUCGCUCACCAGCCACCCUCCUGAACUGGCCUAUGGGGCCCCAGGAUGAUGCCAUAGCCACAAGUCUGGAGUUCCUCAAAGUACCUGGUCAGCACAACUCAGUUAAACAAUGGGCAAAAGACCUGAACAGACACUUCGCCAGAGAAGAUGUACAGAUGCAAGUAAGCAUUUGAAAAGGUGCCCCACAUCGUAUGUCGUUAGGGAAUGGUCCAAUCCAGAACACUGAUGGCACCAAAGGCUGCUGAGCAUGUGGAGCAGCAGAACUCUCAUUCACUGCUGGUGAGAAAAAUGGCGCAGCCCCAAUAGGGAACCCUAAUGCAGACUCUGGACUUCACUGGAAAUGACGUGUCAGUGUAGCUGCGUCAGUUGUAACAAAUGCACCAGUCUGGUGGGCGUGUUGAUAACCGGGGCUGCGCACGUGGGGAGAGAGGACCUGUGGGAAUGCUCUACUUUCCACUCAUUUUUGCUGUGAACUUAAAACUGCUCUUACAAAAUAACAUUGUUUGUUGUUGUUGUUGUUGUUGUUGUUGUUGUUGUUUUUAAGUAUCUAGUCAGCUCCACACAUGACCCGGGCAGAGUGGGAAGUUGUAGAGUGCCCCAAGGAGAGAAAUGGAACCAGGUCUCAUGUGGGGCCAAGUGUGGGCUCCCUGUCCUCUCAGCUGGUCCCAGGAACUGAAGGGAAAUUUAGACAACUUGGAGAAAGACACUCUAGGGCUCGGGGCAAAGGGUGGUGUUGAUGAGAACCAUAUUUUUUUAUUGCUGGUGUAAGCACUUGUAUUUUUCUGAUUUUCCACUGGUUCGAUAAUAAGGGUAAAAGACAAUAAAGCAUACUUUUUAAGCUUUUGUUUAGAAGUUUUUUUUCCAAUAAAACUUCCCCAAAA
rnacentral:lncRNA from 10 species